UCUGCUCACUCCGCCAGUCUGAUCUCUCUCUCUCACUCUCAGUCAGUAUGGCCGUGCGUGACGGUCUAGUCGCGUUACGUUGGUGGGCUCUUUGUAAUUGUGUUUAGCUUCGUGCCGUCGACGCGAUUAAUUAAUCGAAUCGUGAGCCAGAAGAAAAUUGUGUGACGCCAUGGAGCGCGCGUCGGAGGCGCUCAGUGUCAACGACGUCUACAGCCUCGCCGAGGAGAUCGGGAAAGAGUUCGAAAUCCUCAUUGACAACUACGGCGUCGAGCCCGUGAACAAGCUGGUCACUAAAGUGAUUCGCGUGUUGGAGUACCUCGAAGCGUACGCCACCAAGAAUGACAUCGCUCGCGAUGAGAUCGCCGAGCUCAGGGCCCAGAUCUACCAGCUCGAGCACGACAAGUAUGAGAAGGCGGAGUCGAGAAGCAAGCUCGAAAAGGAGAUGGAGCAGUAUGAAGACAUCUGGCGGCAAGAAAUGAAAGAUCUGGGUGGCCUUGUGGCACGGCUGCAGGAGGAAAACUCCAAACUGAGCAGCUCCCUCAAAGAGAGAGAGAGUCACCCCUCCUUGCAGUGCGAGCCACACAGUGUGACACUAGGGGAGGACAUCGUCGUCCUUGAACGGCUCCGGGAUGCCUUCGACAAGCAGGGAGUCCAACUGAGACAUUAUGAAAGGGACAUGGCUAAAAAAGCUGCCGACAUAGAAUCUCUUCAGCAGCAGCUGGAAGCCAGCAAGAAGACAGCCCAAGAGCAGAGCCGACGCAACCGGCGGCUGCAGCAGCAGAUGCGGCAGCUGUGCGAGGAGCGCGGCGACCUGCAAGUGCAGUUGCAGGACCAGCAGAGCCAGCUCCAGACCUUGCAGGAGCGGCUAGGCAUUGCCGUCAAAGACCACGACGACCUUCUCCAGUCCAGGGACACGGUCUUGGAUAUGCAAGGAAAAGUGGUGAUUGACUUGGAUGACCCGAACCGACCACGCUUCACACUGGAGGAGCUCAAGCACAUCUUGUUUGAGAGGAAUGAGCUCAAGGCUCGAGUUAGUGAUCUCGAAGACGAGCUGGCUCUAUACAGGCCAAGGCCGGUUGACCCACCAUUGCCGGUCAGGGACGAAGACCGGCCCGUCCAGGGACCCAUCAACCAGGAGCCUGAGGAGAAGCUUUUUUCUUACGGAAAGGCCUCCGGCAUUCGCAAAUUGUUCCGGGUCAUUAAUAAGGUUAGAGGAUGAGUUUGCUGCCGUAUCUUGGACCUUGAAGGAAGGCAGCUCGCAGCAGUCAUCCCCCCUUGACUGUUUUCCAAGUGUCCUGUGGCCCCGCGUCAAGCCAGGAUGAGAGGCCUCGUAUGCUGUCUCCUGCGGGGCCUGCUCUCUCACGGUGGCCUCUCGCUGGAGUUCUUUGUCGACAUCGCACCGCUUUUUGAACUGCACAUGGCCUUGUCUUCGGACUCCGGACUAUUACUGUGAAGCCGUGCUUUCAUUGCUCACAAGUGCAGCAAGGAUGGAAAGUGAUGCGCCCACCCCUUCCCUUGGGGACGUGUGUCAUUGCCACUGCAGCCCAAUGGCAUUGUGUGUGUGUAUUACCCUUUGAACGUGCCAAGCUAGGAAAGCGGCAGGUUGCAGAAGUGACAGCGAGUUCUCAAAUUAAAUUAAAACGUCACUCAUGAUUAGUGGUCAGUGCUAAAUGUGGCUUCACUGUUUUA
rnacentral:misc_RNA from 1 species